rnacentral:rRNA from 1 species
CUAUGUGUUGUUGGGUAGGGGAGCGUUCUGUAAGCCUGUGAAGGUGUGCUGUGAGGUAUGCUGGAGGUAUCAGAAGUGCGAAUGCUGACAUAAGUAACGAUAAAGCGGGUGAAAAGCCCGCUCGCCGGAAGACCAAGGGUUCCUGUCCAACGUUAAUCGGGGCAGGGUGAGUCGACCCCUAAGGCGAGGCCGAAAGGCGUAGUCGAUGGGAAACAGGUUAAUAUUCCUGUACUUGGUGUUACUGCGAAGGGGGGACGGAGAAGGCUAUGUUGGCCGGGCGACGGUUGUCCCGGUUUAAGCGUGUAGGCUGGUUUUCCAGGCAAAUCCGGAAAAUCAAGGCUGAGGCGUGAUGACGAGGCACUACGGUGCUGAAGCAACAAAUGCCCUGCUUCCAGGAAAAGCCUCUAAGCAUCAGGUAACAUCAAAUCGUACCCCAAACCGACACAGGUGGUCAGGUAGAGAAUACCAAGGCGCUUGAGAGAACUCGGGUGAAGGAACUAGGCAAAAUGGUGCCGUAACUUCGGGAGAAGGCACGCUGAUAUGUAGGUGAAGUCCCUUGCGGAUGGAGCUGAAAUCAGUCGAAGAUACCAGCUGGCUGCAACUGUUUAUUAAAAACACAGCACUGUGCAAACACGAAAGUGGACGUAUACGGUGUGACGCCUGCCCGGUGCCGGAAGGUUAAUUGAUGGGGUUAGCGGUAACGCGAAGCUCUUGAUCGAAGCCCCGGUAAACGGCGGCCGUAACUAUAACGGUCCUAAGGUAGCGAAAUUCCUUGUCGGGUAAGUUCCGACCUGCACGAAUGGCGUAAUGAUGGCCAGGCUGUCUCCACCCGAGACUCAGUGAAAUUGAACUCGCUGUGAAGAUGCAGUGUACCCGCGGCAAGACGGAAAGACCCCGUGAACCUUUACUAUAGCUUGACACUGAACAUUGAGCCUUGAUGUGUAGGAUAGGUGGGAGGCUUUGAAGUGUGGACGCCAGUCUGCAUGGAGCCGACCUUGAAAUACCACCCUUUAAUGUUUGAUGUUCUAACGUUGGCCCCUGAUCGGGGUUGCGGACAGUGUCUGGUGGGUAGUUUGACUGGGGCGGUCUCCUCCUAAAGAGUAACGGAGGAGCACGAAGGUUGGCUAAUCCUGGUCGGACAUCAGGAGGUUAGUGCAAUGGCAUAAGCCAGCUUGACUGCGAGCGUGACGGCGCGAGCAGGUGCGAAAGCAGGUCAUAGUGAUCCGGUGGUUCUGAAUGGAAGGGCCAUCGCUCAACGGAUAAAAGGUACUCCGGGGAUAACAGGCUGAUACCGCCCAAGAGUUCAUAUCGACGGCGGUGUUUGGCACCUCGAUGUCGGCUCAUCACAUCCUGGGGCUGAAGUAGGUCCCAAGGGUAUGGCUGUUCGCCAUUUAAAGUGGUACGCGAGCUGGGUUUAGAACGUCGUGAGACAGUUCGGUCCCUAUCUGCCGUGGGCGCUGGAGAACUGAGGGGGGCUGCUCCUAGUACGAGAGGACCGGAGUGGACGCAUCACUGGUGUUCGGGUUGUCAUGCCAAUGGCACUGCCCGGUAGCUAAAUGCGGAAGAGAUAAGUGCUGAAAGCAUCUAAGCACGAAACUUGCCCCGAGAUGAGUUCUCCCUGACCCUUUAAGGGUCCUGAAGGAACGUUGAAGACGACGACGUUGAUAGGCCGGGUGUGUAAGCGCAGCGAUGCGUUGAGCUAACCGGUACUAAUGAACCGUGAGGCUUAACCUU